UACGUAGGUGGCAAGCGUUGUCCGGAAUUAUUGGGCGUAAAGCGCGCGCAGGCGGCCUUUUAAGUUUGAUGUGAAAGCCCACGGCUCAACCGUGGAAGGUCAUUGGAAACUGAAAGGCUUGAGUACAGAAGAGGAAAGCGGAAUUCCACGUGUAGCGGUGAAAUGCGUAGAGAUGUGGAGGAACACCAGUGGCGAAGGCGGCUUUCUGGUCUGUAACUGACGCUGAGGCGCGAAAAGCGUGGGGGAGCAAACAGG
rnacentral:rRNA from 1 species